GAUGAAGAACGUAGCGAAAUGCGAUAAGUAAUGUGAAUUGUAGAAUUCAGUGAAUCAUCGAAUCUUUGAACGCACAUUGCGCCCUCUGGUAUUCCGGGGGGCAUGCCUGUUCGAGCGUCAUUACAACCCUCAAGCUUUGCUUGGUAUUGGACAUUGCCAGUUUCUGGCAGGUCUUAAAAUCAGUGGCGGUGCCAUUUGGCUUCAAGCGUAGUAAUUCUUCUCGCUUUGGAGAUCCAGGUGGUUACUUGCCAAUAACCCCCAAUUUUUUCAGGUUGACCUCGGAUCAGGUAGGGAUACCCGCUGAACUUAAGCAUAUCAAUAAGCGGAGGA
rnacentral:misc_RNA from 1 species